UAGUUCUUUCCGAAUCGUUACCAAAGCAUAUUUGUUAGUGAAAAACACUUCAUUGGAACUUAUUGUUGACUGAUAAAAUAAUAUGCAUUCUGCAAUGUUGAUUCUAUCUUUGUCUAUAAUAAUAAUGGUGGUUAAUCCAUUUUCGGAAGGAGCGACGAAAUCUUGUGCAGUUAACAGUGAUUGUGCAAAUAAUGAAGCCUGCAUUCGCAAUAAUUGUAAAGAUCCUUGUGCAAAUUUUUCCAUCAUAUGCGGCAUAAAUGCAUCUUGUACAGUUAUGUCGCAUAUAUCUCAAUGUAUAUGCAAACCAGGAUACGUUGGCAAUCCGUUCAUAAUUUGUAUUAAAUAAUAAUUUUAUAUUUAUAGUGCAAAUGAAAGUCGCCGAUAAUGUCAUACCCCUUUUUUAUUAUAUUUCUUAUAUAAAGCUAAAAAUAAAACUUUAAAAUAAACAAUUAGAUUAAGAUAAACAAUUAAUAUAAAUUCAAACUAAAAAGUAACUUCUAUUAAAUAAUAUAACAGCUCCUUACGAUAAUGUAUGAAAUUUGGCAAUGUUUAACAUUUUUGUAAGAUAAACAGAAACAAUUAAAUGUGACAAUAUCGGGCUUAAAAACUGGCACAAAUGAGAUAGAAAUGUAAGAAGGAGAAAAAUAAAAAUAAAAUCGUUUAAAAAAACUACAAACAA